rnacentral:SRP_RNA from 1 species
GCUGGGCUUGGUGGCGCAUGCCUGUAAUCUCAGCUACUCAGGAGGCUGAGGUGGGAGAAUUGCUUGAACUCAGGAGGCGGAGGAUGCAGUGAGCCGAGAUCGCGCCACUGCACUCUAGCCUGAGCAACAGAGUGAGAUUCCAUCUCAA